CCUGCCCACAGCAGGGGCGGUGGAACUGGAUGAUCUGUAAGGUCCAUUCUAUGAUUCCAUGGCCAAAUUUUGCUCUCCCUUGUCUAUCUCCAAGUUACAUUUGGAAUUAGAUGAAUUUCACUAAGCAAAGUUCCAGCUGUGUAUUGUUAAGCAAAACAUAACUGUGCCAUUGGAUCUGCCACACAGACAGACUCCCUCCAAGCCAGCUCUUACUCUCAUUGAUAUCUGUGGUGCAGUCAGUCACAGCAAGGUUCAUACCUCUGAACUUCAGGCAGUUGAUGUGGCCAUCCAGACUUCCAGGGGUAAUGAACAGAACCAGAGACUGCCAGGAUGCACCUCAUCUCCAUCAGAAAGUGAACAGCUCCUUACACCAGACAACUCCUGCUCCUUGUUUCUGGAUAUCAUUGCAGUUGAGAUACGUUGCUCAGAACUAUGUCUAAGUCUUUGCUGUCAAUGUCUACAGAUAAAUGAAGUAAAUCCUGCUCCAGUUGUCUCUGAGACAGUAAAGGGGUGGUCCAAUCAGCUUUGCAUCCAUUAAGUUAUAAUUAAAUAGUUAAAGUAACAUGGGCUGAUAUCCCUGGCUCCGUGGAGAUUUAGGAAUUUAAGGUUCUACCCAGGGCAUUUCAUAUCUUCCCUGCCUAAUGCCCAUGUCAAGAGAAAACUCAAAUUGCCAGGAUCAACCACUUGAUAACGAUUUGUGUAGGAGAAAAGAUUUCUACAUACUCAGUUUAGAUUAAUGUCACUAUUAGGCUGCUAUUCCUUUAUCCCAACUCUUGUCACACAAUGCAAUUAUUAAUGUUUUGGCAGCAUCUUCCCUGAAACUUGAACCAACAAAGCACCCAAAGCCUUGAGCAGAGCCUGAUAUCUGCCUGCCAUCUCAUCACAGCUGCUGGAUAUUGAUUAUCAGCUAAUUACCCAAUUGACAUCUUCCCAGUUUUAUUGUCUUGUUAAGGAGCUUAUCGUAAGAUCUGUCAGACAAUCCAAGACAACUUCAUAUGCACAGCGCUAAUAAUUGAAGACUUUGGAUGAGUAAUAAAAUACAAGACAUAAAUUUCUUAUCACCCCCUCUUCCUACUUCCCUCCUGGUGUGACAAAGCACAGUAGAUGAUGAUGAUGCCUUGCAAAUCUGUUUCCCUUCUUCACCCCAGAGACUCUAUCUGAUGGUAUCUAGUUUUGAUAAGGAAAACAUUGUUCAAAGUAAGUUGAAAUCAGAAGAGACAGCCUUGUUUACUGGUACUCUGGAAGUCAAUCCAAACCAGUCUUUCUGCAGUCUUGGAAUGUAUAAAUCAGAAAGAUUAACCUCCUUGCAGAACUAUUGUGCAAGUACAGCUGCUUUGUCUCCUCCUCAUGCCCAGGAAGGGAAGGCAUCACACAAAUCCUACUCAGCAAUUUCAAAUUAAGUUGGAACCCUUCAGGUUUGGGGAUGAUCACCUUCCAGAGCUCCAUAAGAGCAUUUCACUUGCUUGAGUCAAUAUUCCAUACAAGCAACACUGUGGUUCAGCUGUGUGGAAUAACCUCAGUCAGGUGUGAUUCAGUUCAGUUUAUAAAGGAAAAAACUUGAAUCUACCCACUCAGAGCACAAUAGGGCACAAACUUUUGAUGAGACCCACCAAGAAAUCUUCUUUGCAAAGUUUUCCUUUUGAUUUCUUUGAACAGAACAGAACAGAAUACAAUCAGCAACGCACUUGGAGCAACCUUGAGCUAGAAGGGUGGAAAAAAUUUCCAGAGCUCUCGGGGUACAAAUGAAGCACCAGCAGGUUCUGAUUCUCUAUAGCAAGACAAAAAUCACACGGCAAGCUGUCUACACAGUGAGACAAAGGCAUAAAGACUUAUCACUGAAAAGGUGAUGCCAGAUACAGAGUACUAUGCUAAUAAAAGUCAGACUAUGCAGAAUUGAUUCUCUCCUUUUGAUUAAAAUUCAUUUUUUUAAUUACUACUCCCAAAUGUGCUGCAAGAUAUAGCUAUGCCAGUAUAAGAAACCCUAUAGGUAAGCAUCAAAUAAUUUAAGAAAGAUUUAGAGUAUAAAUACACCUUUCACUAACAAAAGGGGAAGGUUUCAAAAGCAGAGCAAUUCUUAGUCUCACUCCUCUUGAAAAUGGAACAGAUUUUUCCCAAGUGAACUGUUGCUUCUUCAAAAAACUUCUGAUUGGACAGUAAUACACCAAGAAAAAAAAAUAUAGUAGCUGAACUAGUAAAACAUUAAUUAAUAUUUCUUAUCAUUUAUAGGAAAACGAACACAAAAUAAACUGUCUUUGAAGGCAUCCUUACUUUUACUAAGACAUGUGGCACCUUGCUUUGUUAUUUUCUGUUUGAAUUUCAUCCAGUGAAGACCCAAAUGGCUUUACAUACAAGUGUCAGCUCAGGAUAUAUGGUUUUAAAUAAGGUCAAGGUGCUUUCAGAUUCUCAAAGGCACCUAACUCUCAAUCAAUUAGCUCCAAGCAAUCUCUAAGCAGUUAUCACAGGCUUGAAACACCUGAAAGACUUUGGAAUCUUCAUAUAGCACUUGGCCAGUUUGAAAUUUAAACCAUUUUGUCUUUCACUGGAUUUGAUGCUCUUGGAUGCUUGAAACACUUUUGAAGGCCAAUCUUAUGGAUAGAAUUGAUGCCUUUAAAGACUCAAAGAGCCUCUGGACUUUCAAAAAUGCAUCUUUUCUUUACUCUGUACAAGAGUUCCUUACCUGGAAACCGAGGGCAGCAGCAGGAAAGUCCUAUUCCCACAGACUGGGAUAAGAACAGGAAUGAUUAUUAGACACAGAGAUUAUACAGGAACAGUGGAUUGGACUAUGACAAACCCUGAUUCUUCCUGAUGCUUUUAGUCCAAGGUAAAGAGCUCUGAUGUAACCCUGAAAGGGAAUGGGCAAGACCAAAGAACCUAAUAGUGACCUAACUGUGGCCUUUCAGUGCCUGAAGGGAGGCUGCAGGAGAAAUGGAGACACUAUUUAAAACAAAUUAUACUCCCAGCUCAGCUCCUGCAAGGCAGAGAAGUUCUGGUGCAGGAGAAGCACAGGGAGCCACAGCCUUCCAAACCAACAAGAGAACCUACAGGCAGACCAUAUCUAGUUUUCUUUCCCAACCUCCAGAAGCCUUCCCUGGAAGGGGAAGAAGACUGACCCCUUCUGACCCCCUUCUGCAACGUGGCUUUGAAAGCUGGAUAUCAGAUCCUCCCCCUUCCUGCUAAAUAGAGACAUUUUCAGAAGUCAAAGUCAGUUUCCUGACUCUUGUAUGUGUUUAUUCUGCUCACUGGAUGAUAUUUGGCUUCCCAUAUUUCUGCCCCUCUAGCUGGCCUGUCAUCCAAGGGUGUGAUAAGUUCAUCAAAAGAAUGAGGGGCAGUCCAACCGGCCUGAAGAGAGGUGAUGGAAAACAGAGUCCUUGCUAACAAGAGCAGCAGGACAAGGGUCACAUAUUGGUAGAAGUGAUGAAAGCUCCUGCAGGUCUAUUCAGUGUGGCUGUUGCUAUGAGAGUGAAGAGAUUUGCUGGCCCUGAAGCAAGGAGAGGACACAGAUGCUGUUUGUUCCAUAUCAGUUACAGAUUCUGGUCACUUGUGUAAGUUAAUACUCUCCCAACUUCUUUUAGGCUCAUUACAGCUCUUCUUCUGUUACAGCUUGGCAACACAGUUCUGCCUCUCCUUCCACAGGGAGAACACGCUGCCUUCUGCCCCUAAGAGGCACAUGGUGGCAAAGGGCAGAUUUUAGUCUCUGAAUCUGCACUGGUGGUUCUACCUCAGGUUUAUUAUCUGUGUGGAAGAGAAAGACAACCAUCCGUCAGACCUCUAAUCUCAGGAGUGCUCUCCCAUUCAGAGCCAGUCCCUCUGUGCUGAUGAGAAAAUAUCUUUGCACCACUGUUCUCAGUAGGAUCGUGCUAGGCCAUCUCCAGCCGUUUUCUACUGAAAACAAUAAUGUGUAAACAGGAAAGUAAUAAGGACUUGAAUCUCUCUAUCCAGGUGAAAUAAAGAGAUUGUAUACAACAGGUGCGUUCCUGGCGCUGUUGAACUCUCCUUUUGAAAGUUUGUUCCUACCACAAUUAGACUUUGGCCGUUGUGUUCAGGGUAACAGCAUCAGAAUCAUUGCCCAGAGCAUUGCUUCAGAAAUGAAUUCUGUUCCAGGAAUGAUGACAGGUUUCGAGAUAGCCAAGCAAACAACACGCUGGAGUACUGCCCAUGCUGUGCAGUGCUGUGAGUGCCAUAUUAAACACAUGUUUAAUCACUGCAAUGAAGGGGAAAUGGCAGAAACACAAGUUCUGCCUCCUUGAUCAGCUCUUGUAGCACUCAAGUGCUACAUCCAGAGUUGAGCCUCCAGUACAAGACUGGAGGCACCACUCCAAGGGUAUAUGGAAGGUGGGGGCCUCUGCUUCAUUAUCCACUCAAGGAGCCUUUCCCUCCCACAAGAAUAUGAAAUGAAGGAGAAAUUUAUAAAAAAGAACGUGCAGAGGGCACAAGCCACGUGCACAGGAGAGGGAGAGAGGCACUGGGAAAGGGCAAAAGUCUUUAGCCAUUAAUUGAUGGGACCACCAAGGAUUGUCAGGCACAGCUUUGGAGAGGAAUUUGUAACUGAUAAGAAGGAGGAAACAAGAGGAAUAAGACAGCUGAGGAUAUUUGAGGUGGGCCUGAGGGACUGAACUUAAGGAACGUUUAGUGGGUCAGGGCAAAACAAGGGGGGAGGAAGAAAAUAGGACAUAGAAGGGUACAAAGAAGAGCCAGUCAAAUGUAACCCCUCACUGAUCAGUGAAUGUGGCUGAACAAGCCUGCACCCCAUCACUACAGCCCAUCCUAUAUUUUUAUUAAAGCUUUUUAAAAAGGUCUUUUUAAGCCUUUUAAAGACUUUUGCUGUCUUUCUGUACAACCUUACUGCCUGUUCCACAAGUGGGAAUGCUCUAAGGACAAGGUACCAGCUACUGGGGACAGAAACUGACGCAAACCAAAUACAAAGCAUUUUGGAAAGAAUCAACAUGACUGCUGCCCUGGCCAACUCAGAUCCUCAGACUUCAAGAAGACAGAAUGAAGUGAAUGUCACCAAAUGCUUUCACAAAUUGUUUUAAUGAGCUGGAUUUUGAUCUAUUUAAAGGCCUAAAAAGGUGGAUAUGCAGCAGGAAGGAGAAGUGGAUAAUGGUGCUGCUGGAGAACAGCACUAAAAGCCAAAAAGGGAAAUACACAGAGCAACCAGUUUGAUGAUGCAGCCACCAAAUGAGUCUUCAGCCAGGUUGUGUAGGAGAGUAUAACAACCUUACCAAUUCCAAAAAUCGGAAACACCAGAGAGAUACUAAACCCUACCCACCUCUAUCUACAUCUUGCAGCAUUACACAGGCAGACUCUCAAGUGAGGAAGGGUAACAACCAUCUCCAGGCAUUUGGGAUUCUCACAGGGCAGACACAGGAUGGAGAAUUAAAAUGGGAGUCUACAACUAAAACUGAUGAAUUUAAGUGCAAAAAGUGGCACAAGUGUCAACCAAAAUGUCCUAAUGGUACAAUUUGGAAAACAGCCUCUUGAGAGGUAUGAAAUAAUAUAAAAAGCAUUUUAUAAAGCAGUCUUUUCUUAAAGGGAAGAAAAGAGGUUUAAAGAGAUGUCUAAUACAGGGAUGUAGGUCAUGUUGUUAUUUAUAAAAUGGUGAUUCCUGUCAUUAUUUCCAGUAUAUUCCUGAACAUUAUCUUUCAUCAGUGACAAUGGCAGAGCGAGUGCUACAAGAGUCCCUUCAGGCUUAUUUUCUGCAGAACCAUAUGGAAAAAUUAGGAAGACAUUCAAGAGUUAAAUACAAUCACCCUCAGCAGAAGCUUUUCCCAGAUUAGCCCUUGUGUCAAUGCAUUGAGAAGAAACCCAGACGUUAUUUUCACUACUGAUCACAGAAAGGCUGAAGUUAUCAAGGACCUCUGGAGGUCACCCCUGCUCAAGUAGGGCCAGCCACAGCUGCCUGCCCAGGAACAUGACCAGUCAGCCUUGGAAUAUCUCCAAGGAUGAAAACUCCAAAACCUCCCUGGGCAGCCUGUGGCAGUGCUCAGUCACUCUCAUACUUAAAAAAAAACCCUAAACAAGCAAAAACCCAACCAAAAAACCAGUUUCUCUUCUAGUUUGUGUCCAUUGCCUUUGGUCCUGUGGCUGAGCACCAUGGAAAAAAGCCUGGCUCCAUCUUAUUUACCUCCCCACAUCAGAUAAUUCUGGUAAGAUCUCUCAAGAGUUACAGCACUCUCAGCUUUUCCUCGCAGCAGAGAUGCUCCAGUCCCUUCAUCAGACUCUCUCCAGCACAUCCAUGUCUUUCUUGACUGGGCACCCAGAAGGGAAGACAAUACUCCGGGUGUGGUCUCACCAGUGCUUAACAGAGGGGAAGGAUCAGCCCCUUGACUUGCUGACAAUGAUCGUCCUAACACAGCUCAGGAUACUUUUAACUUUCUUUGCUAUGGGAGUACACUUGGCUCACAUCCAUCCUGGUGCCUGCCAGGACCUUUCCUGCCAAGCUGCUUCCCAGUCACUCAGUCCCCAGCAAAUACUGGUGCCUCUUCCUCCCCAGGUCCACAGAACUUUGCACUCCUCCUUCCUGAACUCCAGGAGGUUCCUGCCACCCACUUCUCCAGCCUGCCCAGGCUCCCCUGGAUGGCAGCACAGCCCCCAUGGACACCAGCCACUGCUCCCAGUUCUCUGUCUGCUAGGGGAAUACUCUGCCCCAUCAUCCGGAUAAUUAAUGAGGAUGUUGGACAGGAUUGGACCCAGUUAGAGGCCUCCAUUUAGACUUUGUGCCACUGACCAUCCCCUUCAGCCUGUCCCCUGUCUCCUGAUUUACCCCACCCUCAAUCUGCUCUGCUGUGAGGGAGACAGUAUCAAAAGCCUUACUGAAGUCCAGGUAGACAAUGUCCACUGCUGUCCCCUCAUCUACCAACCCAGUCAUUUCCCCACAGAAGGUUUUCUGGGUUGGUCAAGCACAACAUCCCUCUGGUAAAUCCAUGCAGUCUCCUCUUGAUCACCUUCCUGUGCCUGGAAAUACCUUCCAGGGUGAGUUACUCCAUCACUUUCUCCACAGAUCAAGGUGAGCAUGACCAGCCUGUGGUUGCCUGCUUCCUCCUUCCUGCCUGCUCAUGGAAAGGAGUGGGAAGAGAAUGAGGAUAUUCUUUUCAAGAAAAGAAGGCUGACAAGUGUCUGGCAUCUACCCUGUCUUCUGAAGGAGGGAAUGUUAGAUCCAGACAUAUCCUCAGCAACAUUCCACUGCUAGUCUGAGGACUUCAAUGCCAUCUAAAUAAUCUGCAUCAGUUUGAACUUCCCCAAAAGUGACUAUUUUAUCCUCCACAAGAACAAAAAUGUCUGACACAAGCAUCCAGCAGCCUUCAGGAAAAAAAGGAACUUUACAUGCUGAUAAGAACACAUUAGAGUAGAGCAACAUACAAACAAAAAAAGUACCUAGAAAGUUAAAUAAUUAAGAAAAGGUAUCUUCCAUCUAAGAGCAAUGCCUUUUUUGAAAGCAGAUGGUCUGGAGUCUGAAAUAAAAUCAGACUUCCCCCUGACUGCCUCCAUCCCCUAUUACUUGAUUAUUUUUCCUCAAAGCAUCUGGAUGUAACUGAACUCCAACCGUGGAAUCAGCUACAAAAUAAACAUGUCUUGUUGUCCUUAGGCUGAGCUGCUGAGCUGCUGUGUCUUGAAACAGUAUUCCUGUCGAAGUUAAAGUCUAUUCAGUGCAGGAAUUAUUAAUAACUCCUUUUAUUAACAUGCCUUUGGCUGAACUGUUUGGGGUCAGCUAAAAAUGUUUUCUUCAGUAAGGGGAUAUUCUGGAAGAAGCAAUGUUCUAUCAAUUGAGGAGGCAAACCCAGUGAAAACAAAGAAAGAUAUUAUAACAAUCCAGGAUUACAGAAUGUGCCAGGUUUGGGGUUUGGUUGGUUUUUCGGGUGUUUUUGUUUUGGUUUGGGUUUUUUGGGGGGGUGGAGAAAGUUCUUUUUACUUGUAAGUCCACACCAAAGUAUGCUUUAAAUGCUUCUCUCAGAUACCUGAAUUAGCAGAUGGUAUGAGUUUAAACCAUGCAUUUCCUCAAAUCUACCUGGAAAUGCGCACACAAUCAGUUCCUGCUGGGCAAAUACUCACUAUCUGCAAGGUGCAGCUAUAACCAAUGGCACAGCUAUUUCUGCAGCAUUACUGAUCACCAGCAGAGAUGGCAGCUCCAUGCUCCAGGGAAUGGAGAGUGAAGUGCUGCCCUGUCUUCUGUCUGCACCAGAACAAUGCCACUCAGCAUUAUCUAACUGGGAUUAUCACCUGACUGGCAGCAAGAAAGCCUGAUGAAUCAUUUUUAUUCCAAAGCACAUUAAAAUGUGAAAGGGCAGUGCAUUAGGUCCUUCCAGUGGAAAACCUUACUUCUCUAUGGAAGAACCUUCAUCAAUAUUGAGUUUCACCUUUCACAUAACUCACUGCAAAUCUAUCCUGUGUACCAGGACAACUUUCACCUUUCCUGGUAAGCACCUAAAACUUCAUUCACCACUUCGGGAGAGAAGUUACUCUCAAAACCAGUAGCUGGGACUUGCACAAAAGCUCAAUUACCUCUGAGGAGCUAAUACUACUCCUGGGAUUCAGUUCCCACUAACUUAUGCAUGGAAAAGCUACGUGCCAUCAGCAGAACAGAGAGCAGCAUCCUACUCACUUAAACACAUCCCUGCAGCUGCACAGAAAGCAAGCAGCAAACCAAAAAUUGCCUCAGAGAUGCAUUCAUACUGACUGCAAACCCAACAUUUCCAAGAAAGCCUUGAUUAAGUCCUGGAGACAAGCCAGAUAGAAAAUGAAGCACUUCUCUGAAAAUUAUAGUCACUGAUUCGUUUCUAUUGGCUGCAAAGUUGUUUGUUUAAAAACGUUUCGUUCCCACCACACAUUUUGAGUAAACAGGUACACAGAAAGCUUCAGCACUUCUUCAUCCUUUCCCCUC